GGCCGACUGGCAAAAUGGCAUCGCGUCUGACUACGAUGGGUUGCUUAUCUAAUCAGCUGCUUACGUAAGCAUCAGGAGACUGCAGGUUCGACCCCUGCGUCGGUCA